GACGAACGCUGGCGGCGUGCUUAACACAUGCAAGUCGAACGGAAAGGCCCCUUUGGGGGUACUCGAGUGGCGCACGGGUGAGUAACACGUGAGUAACCUGCCCUUGACUUCGGGAUAACUUCAGGAAACUGGGGCUAAUACCGGAUAGGAAUCCUUGCUGCAUGGUGGGGGUUGGAAAGCUUCGGCGGGUUUGGAUGGACUCGCGGCUUAUCAGCUUGUUGGUGGGGUAGUGGCUUACCAAGGCUUUGACGGGUAGCCGGCCUGAGAGGGCGACCGGCCACAUUGGGACUGAGAUACGGCCCAGACUCCUACGGGAGGCAGCGGGGGGGAAUAUUGCACAAUGGGCGGAAGCCUGAUGCAGCAACGCCGCGGGCGGGAUGACGGCCUUCGGGUUGGAAACCGCUUUCAGCAGGGGCGAAGCUUGUGGUGACGGUACCUGCAGAAGAAGCACCGGCUAACUACGUG
rnacentral:rRNA from 1 species